UACGUAGGGUGCAAGCGUUGUCCGGAAUUAUUAGGCGUAAAGAGCUCGUAGGCGGUCUGUCGCGUCGAAUGUGAAAAUCCGAGGCUCAACCUCGGACCUGCAUUCGAUACGGGCAGACUAGAGUUCGGUAGGGGAGUCUGGAAUUCCUGGUGUAGCGGUGAAAUGCGCAGAUAUCAGGAGGAACACCGAUGGCGAAGGCAGGUCUCUGGGCCACUACUGACGCUGAGAAGCGAAAGCGUGGGGAGCGAACAGG
rnacentral:rRNA from 1 species